rnacentral:rRNA from 1 species
CCUACGGGUGGCAGCAGUGGGGAAUAUUGCACAAUGGGGGAAACCCUGAUGCAGCGACGCCGCGUGAGUGAAGAAGUAUCUCGGUACGUAAAGCUCUAUCAGCAGGGAAGUAAAUGACGGUACCUGACUAAGAAGCCCCGGCUAACUACGUGCCAGCAGCCGCGGUAAUACGUCGGGGGCAAGCGUUAUCCGGAUUUACUGGGUGUAAAGGGAGCGUAGACGGGUGCAUAAGUCUGGAGUGAAAUCCCGGGGCUUAACCCUGGAACUGCUUUGGAAACUGUGCGGCUGGAGUGCAGGAGGGGUAAGCGGAAUUCGUAGUGUAGCGGUGAAAUGCGUAGAUAUUAGGAGGAACACCGGUGGCGAAGGCAGCUUACUGGACUGUAACUGACGUUGAGGCUCGAAAGCGUGGGGAGCAAACAGGAUUAGAUACCCCUGUAGUC